GAUGAACGCUGGCGGCGUGCUUAACACAUGCAAGUCGAACGGGAAAUAUUUCAUUGAGACUUCGGUGGAUUUGAUCUAUUUCUAGUGGCGGACGGGUGAGUAACGCGUGGGUAACCUGCCUUAUACAGGGGGAUAACAGUCAGAAAUGGCUGCUAAUACCGCAUAAGCGCACAGAGCUGCAUGGCUCAGUGUGAAAAACUCCGGUGGUAUAAGAUGGACCCGCGUUGGAUUAGCUUGUUGAUGGGGUAACGGCCCACCAAGGCGACGAUCCAUAGCCGGCCUGAGAGGGUGAACGGCCACAUUGGGACUGAGACACGGCCCAGACUCCUACGGGAGGCAGCAGUGGGGAAUAUUGCACAAUGGGGGAAACCCUGAUGCAGCGACGCCGCGUGAAGGAAGAAGUAUCUCGGUAUGUAAACUUCUAUCAGCAGGGAAGAUAGUGACGGUACCUGACUAAGAAGCCCCGGCUAACUACGUGCCAGCAGCCGCGGUAAUACGUAGGGGGCAAGCGUUAUCCGGAUUUACUGGGUGUAAAGGGAGCGUAGACGGUGUGGCAAGUCUGAUGUGAAAGGCAUGGGCUCAACCUGUGGACUGCAUUGGAAACUGUCAUACUUGAGUGCCGGAGGGGUAAGCGGAAUUCCUAGUGUAGCGGUGAAAUGCGUAGAUAUUAGGAGGAACACCAGUGGCG
rnacentral:rRNA from 1 species